AUGAUUCAGGAGGCCUGUCAGAGGACAGACAUAAAUGGAGAACAGGAAAUUGAUUGUGUUUAUCUAAACCUACAAACCCACAACACUGUGUCUCAUGUUAAUACUACUCCUAAACACAACCCACCAUCACUGUCUCAUGUUAAUACUACUCCUAAACACAACCCACCAUCUCUACUACUCCUAAACACAACCCACCAUCACUGUGUCUCAUGUUAAUACUACUCCUAAACACAACCCACCAUCACUACUACUCCUAAACACAACCCACCAUCACUGUGUCUCAUGUUAAUACUACUCCUAAACACAUCCCACCAUCACUGUGUCUCAUGUUAAUACUACUCCUAAACACAACCCACCAUCACUGUGUCUCAUGUUAAUACUACUCCUAAACACAACCCACCAUCACUGUGUCUCAUGUUAAUACUACUCCUAAACACAACCCACUAUCACUGUGUCAUGUUAAUACUACUCCUAAACACAACCCACCAUCACUGUGUCUCAUGUUAAUACUACUCCUAAGCUCUUACGAAGCAUCCACUCAAUCACUCUUACUCACUCACUCUUACUUUAGGCAAUUUUCAAAAUGUCUCCACAACAAUCUGUUGCUCUGAGAGCCCUUAAAAUAGCAUGCAAAGUCUUUAUGUGAAACAACAUGUACAAUGUACUUCCCAUCUUUUGUAGCACACAAUAUAGCUCAGUAUUUGUCAAGGGGGCCAAUAAUUUUGGUCUUGACUGUAUAUCCAACAAUCAGAUUAAUAUGUAAAAAUGUAUUUACACACAUACACACACAGACAUAUCACACACACAGUUAUCAUUGACCCUGUUAUACUAUGACAGUGAACAUGACCCUAUUGAAUGGAGAUCUGGGUGUUACUGGUAAACUCUACUGAUCAUGUUUUAAACAUGUAAAUGAAUAAACUGAUCUAAACUAAACACAUGAAACCACAGUCCAGGGUCAGUAUUCACAAAGUGUAUCAGAGUAGGAGAGCUGAUCUGGGAUCAGUUUAGCCUUUUAGAUCAUAAUUAUAUGGACCAUCUGAGACACUUUAUGAAUACAGGCCCUGAUGUAACAACCAAAACACAGUUCAAAAUAAACCAACAAGUACAAAGAUACAGGAAGUCAUGUGAUGUUUGGCUAAAAACAUCAAAACUAAAACUAUAUUUCAAGAUAUUGUCAAGUGUACUUACAGAGUGAAGUGAAGGGGAGAGGUCUUGAACAGUCAGUCAACUUACUGUCACUGUGUGGAAACAAGAAGUAGUCUACUGUAAGUAUUAGUAGAAGCAGGCGUAGCCUAAGUGUGAGUUCUGUGGUUGAUACAUUUUAAAGUAGCCUAGUCAGGGCAAUAACAUGCAGGAACAGCAUGUCACAUAAGGGAUGUUACAGUAUCUAAAUAGAAAAUGGUCUAAAGUCAGAAUACUGUAGUUACAUUUCUUUAUUUGAGGAGUGGGCCAACAUGUUUUACAAGAGACAAAAUGUGACCCAUUCCCAUCACUCCUCAUCAGCUGGUACUGAAGGUUCCAGAACAGAUGAAAGGGGAGUAUCUUUGGUACCAGUGUUCUAGACUAGAGCUCUCCCUACUGACAUCUCAACAUUACUGCAGACUCCAGGCUUCAUAUGUCCCUAGUAGUCUGAUGGAAAUAUACAAAAUAGAAGGUAAAAUAACAUUUGAAAAUGUAAAAUGUAUAGAGAACUAACCAGGCGCAAACAUAAAAAUACUGUGAUAUUGGGACUUAUGUUGAACUGACAUUUGAAUUGAGCGAACAAGUGAGCUCAGCUAGCUUGUUAGCUACAUGAAGAUUUUUCCUAAAUAAACUAGCAUUUCUCUGCAUCACACAGCUACUCUGAAUGGACUGGAUUGUGAACAAUAUGAUGUGCUGCCACUGAAUUACAGUAAGACCCCAUAGUUAACUAGUGAACUAGUUAGUGAGCCUACUUUUAGCUAUCAACAUUAGCUAGCUAGAAACAACAGACAACAGUGAGCUGUCAUUAUGCCAAGGCCAAGGCAAGCUGCUCUGUAUAUCCACUGUGUUCUUGUGUGAAAGAGAUGUCUUCAGCUCACUGAUCUUCAGAACAACGGACCCAAAGUGAACCCUGACAUCCAUAUUACUAAGUCUGUCUGUCUGUCUGUCUGUCUGUCUGUCUGUCUGUCUGUCUGUCUGUCUGUCUGUCUGUCUGUCUGUCUGUCUGUCUGUCUGUCUGUCUGUCUGGGAUUAUUAUGUUUUAUUGUGUCUGAGUGAUGCAUGUUUAAAAAACAUUUACAUUGAAUAAUAUUUCAUGUAAUUGUUUAUUGCUGCUUCGUUAUUGUUAUUUUAUUGUGAUUUAGUUUUAGUUUUAUUUACAAUUUUUAUAAUUAAAAAAAAGGAAAAUUCCUUACAUAAAAAACUGCAUUGUUGCUUAAUAAGCAUUUAAUAACCAUUUCACAGUAAGGUCUACCUGUUGUAAUCGGCUCAUGUUUCAAAUACAAUUUGAUUCGUGUGUUUAGGCACUGGACUCCCUCUGACACUGGGAUUCUGAAUAUCUAGAAGUCUGAGCCGUCAGUGGACGGGGACGGGAGGGUUAUUCUACUAGUUGACAUAUGGAAUUGUUUUAAGGUGGUCAUACCAUGGAUCAUUUAGCUAUUUGAUUUUGAAUUAUAGUACCCCUUUAGGUAAAGAAGGAUAAGGACUAAUGUUUGUGAGAGCAGGCAGGGGACUGCAAUAUAGUCUGCCGGGAACAUGCCCCAUAUUCAACUGUAAUUCAAUUCAAAAAUAAAAUGUAUUUAUCCCCUGUAGGGGCAAUUACUAGGCACCCUAUGGCAUCAGGCUGGCAGUGAGUCUUACAAUGACAUCACAAUGGGUCACAUGUCCAGUCACAUGACCAUACAUACACAGUAAAACACAUGAUAACAACAGAUGUCAUCCCCCUUAGUGUCUACAACAUGGUCAUCAUAGAGGCGGUUCACUGGGCAAAGAUCCCUUCAACUUCUAAUGAUGAUGUCAUUUCCAUGUUUCACAGCUCAGGCCGAGGGAGAUUUACAUUUACAGUAGAGAACAUAGAAUUAGAAUGUAGAACUGUGAUACUCUCUAUCUCCCCACACCUACAGUACAAAACAUAGAGAGUAUCAGAGUUCUACAUUCUAAUUAUAUCUCCCCUCACCUACAGUACAGAACAUAGAGAGUAUCAGAGUUCUACAUUCUAAUUAUAUCUCCCCUCACCUACAGUACAGAACAUAGAGAGUAUCAGAGUUCUACAUUCUAAUUAUAUCUCCCCACACCUACAGUACAGAACAUAGAGAGUAUCACAGUUCUACAUUCUAAUUAUAUCUCCCCUCACCUACAGCACAGCAUGUAGAAGGAGGAGAGGAAGGGAUGGAGGUGACCACAGUCAAAAUACAAGGAAUGUAGGAACAGGGUGCUAUUUGAGACAGACUAUAGANNNNNNNNNNAUCUAAAUAGAAAAUGGUCUAAAGUCAGAAUACUGUAGUUACAUUUCUUUAUUUGAGGAGUGGGCCAACAUGUUUUACAAGAGACAAAAUGUGACCCAUUCCCAUCACUCCUCAUCAGCUGGUACUGAAGGUUCCAGAACAGAUGAAAGGGGAGUAUCUUUGGUACCAGUGUUCUAGACUAGAGCUCUCCCUACUGACAUCUCAACAUUACUGCAGACUCCAGGCUUCAUAUGUCCCUAGUAGUCUGAUGGAAAUAUACAAAAUAGA
rnacentral:lncRNA from 13 species